AGGACUGGCUGCCUAAGAGGAGUACCAGAGAUAGGGUCAGGGGGCCAAUAGGAAGCUCCAGCCUGAGGACUGCUGGACUGAGGCCCCUGAUACAAAGGGCUAGGAAGGUGCUAGGGCUACAGGAAAGUGGCCAAGGGAAAUAGGUGGUGGGAGUUGGAAGGGCAGCAGCACGUGGCUGCCAGCUAUAGGGUCCCUGGGACAGGCCCUGGAGUAAUGGGCAGACCUGGGUUUCCUCCCAUGGCCCCCCCCUUGCCACUGAGGGGAAUGGCCAGUGCAUGGACUGCAGUUCACCACUGAGGAGAGUGGCCAGAUUAGAGACUGCAGUGUGCCACUGAGGGAAGUGGCUGGACUGAGGACUGUCAGAUCCCCUGGAAGUGGGGAGAGAACCAAGUGGGGCACAGCCAAAGGGUUGUGUCCAGAAGAGGAUGCUGCGGUCCGGGGAGCAACGUGGGGUCUUAGAGGUGGAGCAGAAGCGAUGGCCGUGAGACACCACUAGAGGAAGGUGCACUGGCAACCAAGAGCUAAUUCCCAGCACAGCCAGCAGGAGGCGCCAAGGUGGUGAGUCAGGCCCCCGUCACAAGCACCCAUAGGGACACACAUCUCGAAGAACCACAGUUAUUGCACAGGAGCAGGUCAUUUCUAACUCUUCAAACCAUUAACCAGCCACACCUUGAGCUGGAGGACCUGGAAAUUGGGCUGAUGGACCUUGUGGCAUCUUGAGAGAGGAGAUGAGGAACAGGCUGGAGAACAAUUGGUUGGCAAACAGCAAGCUCAGUAAGGUGCCCAAUGCCAUGUGAGUCAGAAGCUGGAGGCAGUUUCUGGACAAUGUCUGAGAGCUGACCUGGACUGCUGAGAUGAAAUUGAUCAGAGUGUUGAACCUGUGUAAGGAAAGGAAUGGUUUGGCUGCUACUGCAUCAAGGCAUGUAAAUUUUCAGCAAACACAAGAUGGCUUUAGAAUCUCUUAAUGUGUGGAGGGAUUCAUCAGUUUUCUCGGCAAACAACUUUGAUCCCUCAAAUGGAAGGUCCUUGACUGUAGACUGGAGGCAGUUUGGAAAGCAGAAUAACUGAAGCCAGGAAGUCCUCCUCAUGACCACCGCCGUGGAGAUAGAAUGAGUAGCUUAGGUCAGUG